GACGAACGCUGGCGGCGUGCUUAACACAUGCAAGUCGAGCGGUAAGGCCCUUUCGGGGGUACACGAGCGGCGAACGGGUGAGUAACACGUGGGUGACCUGCCCUCAGCUCUGGGAUAAGCCUGGGAAACCGGGUCUAAUACUGGAUAUGACUCCAUGACGCAUGUUGGUGGGGUGGAAAGCCUUGUGCGGCUGAGGAUGGGCCCGCGGCCUAUCAGCUUGUUGGGUGGGGUGANGGCCUACCAAGGCGACGACGGGUAGCCGGCCUGAGAGGGCGACCGGCCACA
rnacentral:rRNA from 1 species